UACAGAGGGGGCAAGCGUUGUUCGGAAUUACUGGGCGUAAAGGGCGCGUAGGCGGCCUGCUAAGUCGAACGUGAAAUCCCUGGGCUCAACCCAGGAACUGCGUCCGAUACUGGUUGGCUUGAAUCCGGGAGAGGGAUGUGGAAUUCCAGGUGUAGCGGUGAAAUGCGUAGAUAUCUGGAGGAACACCGAUGGCGAAGGCAGUUCUCUGGGCCGUAACUGACGCUGAGGAGCGAAAGCGUGGGGAGCGAACAGG
rnacentral:rRNA from 1 species